GCAGGGUGUUGAUCGGGCACUCCUCUGUGUAGAGAACCAUCCUGCAGUAAGCACAGAGUGAGGUCGGCAUGCUGUGAGCAGCAGAGGCUGUCAUCACCCCUGGAGCAGCGCGUCCCUGUUGCCCGCAUCCUCUCCAGCAUUUGGCGGCGUCUGUGCUCUGGACUGCAGCCCUUCUAGAAGGUCUCCGGUUUCUACCUCGGGACUCAGAGAACUCUCCGGAACAUGUUCCCGACCCUCGACCCUCGACCCUCAACCCUGGGGGAUUGCUCCAGACGACCCUCUGCUGGACCUGACGCCCGCCGCCCGCCGGCUGUCCUUACAAGCACGGUCAAGAAUACGCCGUCCUUUCACGUGGCCUUUAGCCCUGCUCAGGGAAAGGCUUGGGCACUAAGAACCUGCACUUCGUUCCGACACAGCACACUUCUCUACGAGGAGGGGAGAAGAGGGUUCACAUUACCAUCAGCUGCAGCAAAACUGGAACAGGAUUAAGACGGCGGAACAGAAAGACUGGAGCUCAACUGCUCUCCCCAAAACAACAGAAUUUACAACCAAAUGCUGCCCAAUUUUCAACCAAAUGGACCAGAAGCUUUCAAAAAGACAUCCUACUCCAGAAGACACAGAGGACACCACAUCAAGAGGUAGGAGGGGCAAUUACGUGAUAUGAGCAACCCCAUACCUCCGUAGUGGGAAGCCCCACAGACUGGAAAGUAACUGGUUCAGAGACUCACCUACAGGAGUGAGAGUUCUGAGCCCCACAUCAAACUCUCACAUGUGGGGAUUCGGCACUGGGAGAAAGAGCCCCUGGAGCACUGGGCAUUGAAGGCCAGUGGGGCUUAUGUGCAGGAGCUCCGUGGGACUGGGGGAAAUAGAGACCCCACUCUUAAAAGGCACACACAGAAUUUCAUGUGCACUGGGUCCCAGGGCAAAGCAAAGUCUCCAUAGGAAUCUGGGUCAAACCUGACUGCAGUUCUUGGAGGACCUCCUGGGAAAAAAGGGGUGAAGGUGGCUUAUUGUGAGGGAGGGACAUUGGAAGCAAAGCUCUCGGGAAUCUUUAGCAGCAUGCCUUUCUCUGGAGGUGGCCUGUUUUUUGGGAAAAUCUGGCCCCACCCAUUGGUGCUGAGAAGCCCUAGGGCAAACAACAGUCCAGGUGGGAUCACAGCCCUGCCCAUCAGUAAACAGGCUGCCUAAAGACCCCCCCAGGCACACCGUCACCUCUAAUCUCACCCAGAGACAAAGCCCCACCCACCAGAGAGAUAGGAAUCAGCCCCAUCUACCAAUGGGUAGGCACCAGUCCCUCCCAUCUGGAAGCCUACAGCAAGCUCCCAUACCAACUUCAGCCACAAGGGGGGCAGACACCAGAAGAAAGAGAUAGUAUAACUCUAUUGUCUGCAAAAAGGAGAACACACCAAAAACCUAUAAAAAUGAAAAGGCCACGAGCUAUAACUCAGGUAAGGGAGAAAGGAAAAAACCCAGAAAAACAGCUAGGUGAUCUGGAGAUUCUCAGCCUCAAGGAAAAAGACUUUAUAGACUGUUGAUGCUGAAGAUGAUGUAAGACACUGGAAAUAAACUGGAGGCAAAGACGGGUAACUUACAGGAAACCCUGACCAAAGAGAUACAAGAUACAAAACUUAAGUAAGAAGAGAUGCAAAAUACAACAACUGAAAUAAAAAAUUCAUUAGAAGCAGCCAACAGCAGAAUACAGGAGGCAGAAGAAUGAAUGAGCGAGGAGGAUGGCAGAUUAGUGGAAAUUACAGAUGCAGAACA
rnacentral:lncRNA from 1 species